rfam:Dipodomys ordii contig_83612, whole genome shotgun sequence.
GGGAAAGUGGCUCAGUGGUAGAGCACUUGCCUUGCAUGCAUAAGGCCCUUGGUUCGAUUCCUCAGUACCA